rnacentral:rRNA from 1 species
UACGUAGGGUGCGAGCGUUAAUCGGAAUUACUGGGCGUAAAGCGUGCGCAGGCGGUUCGUUGUGUCGGUGGUGAAAUCCCCGGGCUUAACCUGGGAAUGGCCAUGGAAACUGGCGAACUGGAGUGCGGCAGAGGGGGGUGGAAUUCCGCGUGUAGCAGUGAAAUGCGUAGAGAUGCGGAGGAACACCGAUGGCGAAGGCAGCCCCCCUGGGCUGAGAUUGACGCGUCAGGCACGAAAGCGUGGGGAGCAAACAGG